rnacentral:rRNA from 1 species
AUACGGAGGAUCCGAGCGUUAUCCGGAUUUAUUGGGUUUAAAGGGUGCGCAGGCGGCCAUUUAAGUCAGCGGUUAAAUCGUGGGGCUCAACCCCAUUCUGCCGUUGAUACUGGGUGGCUUGAUUGCGGUCGAGGUUGGCGGAAUUCGUUGUGUAGCGGUGAAAUGCAUAGAUAUGACGAAGAACACCGAUUGCGUAGGCAGCUGACCAGGCCGCAAAUGACGCUCAUGCACGAAAGUGCGGGGAUCGAACAGGAUUAGAUACCCUGGUAGUCCGCACAGUAAACGAUGAAUACUUGUUUUCGGCGAUAUAAUGUCGGAGGCAAAGCGAAAGCGAUAAGUAUUCCACCUGGGGAGUACGCCGGCAACGGUGAAACUUAAAGGAAUUGACGGGG